rnacentral:misc_RNA from 1 species
GAUGAAGAACGCAGCGAAAUGCGAUAAGUAAUGUGAAUUGCAGAAUUCAGUGAAUCAUCGAAUCUUUGAACGCACAUUGCGCCCCCUGGAAUUCCGGGGGGCAUGCCUGUUCGAGCGUCUCAGGGACGAACCCUCGCGCGGGUGUACGCGCGGUCGUGGCUGCGGUGGCGUGCCCGCGGCGGCGGCCACCGCGCUGGAAUCCAUGGGCGGACGCCUGCCGCGUGGCCGAGCGUGAUAUGACGCAUUGGCGCUCGCACGCGGAGAGGCUGCCAGCCCUGGCCCGUCUGUCGGGCGGGGGAGAGCAAGACACGUGAACUCCUCGAAUCAGGUAGGGAUACCCGCUGAACUUAAGCAUAUCAAUAAGCGGAGGA